GCCAUACCGCGUGGGUGAAGAAGGCCUUCGGGUUGUAAAGCCCUUUUGUUGGGAAAGAAAUCCAGCUGGCUAAUACCCGGUUGGGAUGACGGUACCCAAAGAAUAAGCACCGGCUAACUUCGUGCCAGCAGCCGCGGUAAUACGAAGGGUGCAAGCGUUACUCGGAAUUACUGGGCGUAAAGCGUGCGUAGGUGGUCGUUUAAGUCCGUUGUGAAAGCCCUGGGCUCAACCUGGGAACUGCAGUGGAUACUGGGCGACUAGAAUGUGGUAGAGGGUAGCGGAAUUCCUGGUGUAGCAGUGAAAUGCGUAGAGAUCAGGAGGAACAUCCAUGGCGAAGGCAGCUACCUGGACCAACAUUGACACUGAGGCACGAAAGCGUGGGGAGCAAACAGGAUUAGAUACCCUGGUAGUCCACGCCCUAAACGAUGCGAACUGGAUGUUGGGUGCAAUUUGGCACGCAGUAUCGAAGCUAACGC
rnacentral:rRNA from 1 species